GUUAAUUCCCACAAAAAGUUUCCACCUCUGAAUAUUCCCCAAAAUAUGCAACCCUUAAUCAUUAUUAAAGUGGCAUUAAUAAUCAAGUCUGUAUGUAGGCAGUUAGUGAUGGCUGUUUAACAGUCUGACGGCCUUGAGAGAACCUAUUUUUCAUUCUCUCCCUCCCAGCUUUGAUGCACCUGUACUGACUUUCCCAAAUCAUGUACCAUCAAUUGAAUGUACCACAGGUGAACUCCAAUCAAGUUGUAGAAGCAUUUCAAGGAUGAUCAAUGGAAACAGGAUGCACAUGAGCUAAAUUUUGCCUCUCAUCGCAAAGGGUCUGAAUACUUCUGUAAAUGUGAUAUUUCCGUUUUUUAUUUGUAAUAUAUUUGCAAAAAUGUCUAAAAACCUGUUUUUGCUUAGUCAUUAUGGGGUAUUGUGUGUAGAUUGAUAAUAUGGGACAAAAAACACACAUUGUGACAAGAGAGACAACACUACAUAAAUAGAGACCUAAGAAAAGCUUCUAUGAGAACACACCUGGAAAAGGUUAACAUAACCAAGAGGACUAAACAGUUCCUGGAUGGGGUUACUUUGAAUUCCAUCCAAAUAAAGAAAUGAACCAAGAAACGUUGAGCAGAAGGAAAUAGGUGACCGUUCCAAACUUUUCUUGCUGAAGAAGCAUGUCAAGCGACAUCAAAGUACAUCCAACCAACCGACCCCGUGUAGUGAAAUAUCAUGGAGUCCUCUAGUGAUGCUAACAAGAUUGUCUAAGGUCAGAAGAGUUAGUCUUUCCAAACAUGUGAUAGUUAAUAACUAACAAGAGUGUUUAGACUGUUGGUUAAUGCAUACUGUUUUCUUCAUCUAUCUAAUCCAUAAAGUGGUGGUUAAGACUCUUCUGAGAGACACUAAAGUGUGUUUGGUGAAGGAAGAGACAGAUGCCAGGAGGGAUGAAGACAACAGUGGAGUCUUGUCUCCUCAGUUCUUUCCUUGUCCACACUGCACCAUCUCCUUUACUGACUGUUACUUCCUGGAGAACCACAUCAAGACCAAACACCAGAAGCAGUACCUGGCCAUGUUGAGAAGCCAAGUCUCAAAGAGUAAAAGAGUGUACGGCCCCACACACAGCUGUGCCCACUGUAGCUGCAUGUUCCAUACACCACGACAGCUAGACAUUCACACCCGCCAGGCCCACCUCUCUGCCUGUCCCCAGAAACCUGCCCCUCCCCUGU
rnacentral:lncRNA from 1 species